GUUGCCUUACUCCCACAAGUGGUAACAGAAUACACAUUCAUUCGGGAGCUGCUAUGGGCCACAGCUCACACGGGUGUUCACACGGCAAGAUUUGGUCCGGUGCUACGCCGGGGCUGCCCCAGUACAGCGUUCACACGUGCAAAUUAGCUCCGGCGUAGCCGCGGAAAACAGCUUACUCCGGACCAAAUUUGAUCCACCUCAGGGAGGUAGUUUAAAAAUUUGCUCCAGAGCAAAUGCUCAUUUGCGAAGCAGCACCGAUGUAAAUUUGCACGUGUAAACGCAACUGGGUUAAAUUUGCUCCAGAGCAAAUGCUUGUGAAGAGUUGAUUAACGACGGCGAGAAUGCGUUGCUAAGACGUUUUAUUUUCAGUGUUUUCGCGAGGUCGCUACCACUGCACCACUGAACUCUCGACUUGCCUCAGUGCACCGUCACUGUCAGACGAACACAGAGACUCUCCACCUGCUCUAUUUAUAUGGACACGGAACACUGUAACCUUCCACACAAAAUAGUUCCAAACAAGUAACAAUCGCGUCAGUGGCAUACAUCGUAUACCUGUAUGAUACAGGUAACUUUGGUCUUGUCAGUGGAGCAAUCUGGCAACUUUUUAAAAGUAAACUUUCCAUUCAUAAACUCUUUAAGUAUCCAUUUUCGGUUUCUCGCGCUGCCAUGGCUGGCAAAACAAAGUGCAUGGACCUAUGCAGCGCACUUGUUGUUUUGUUUCUGGUUUAUUUAUAGAGCAACAUAACAUCCACUGUGACGUGUUCCGCGUUAAUCUCGCGAGAAAAAAAAUUAAUCCAGUUGAAAUACAUUUAAAUUAAUGCCAAUAAAAAUGCGCUAAACUGACAGCUCAAGAAUAAAUAUAAAUAUAAGCAUAUUAAAAAUAGGUGAGUGGGGGUGAGUCCAGGUUUUAGGGAGCAUCUAUUCAAUAGCAUGACGGCAGUCGGCUGGGACAAGCGGCAGUACCUCUCCUUCUCGCAACGCGGGUGUAUCAGUCUCUGGCUGAAGGAGCUGCCGAGUGCUGUCAGGGUGGCCUGGAGAGGGUCAGAGGGUCUGCACAUCAUAGCUGUUAGCUUAGCUAGCAUCCCCCUGUCGCCAACCUCCUCCAGAGUGUCCAGGGAGCAGCCCAGGACAGAGCAGGCCCUCCUGAGCAAUCGGUCCAGUCUCUCUCUGACCUGCACUGAGAUGCUGCCUGACCAGCAGACUUUGUCAUAAUGAAUGUCAGAGGCCACCACAGAGUCAAUGCUCUACAGGAGUGACCCCUGAACUCGAACAGACCUCAGUUUUCUUAAAGUGACUGAUGUGGCAAAAGGAUCUUGUGUUUAGCAAACAAAGGCCACAAAUAUUCGAGGAAGUCGAGAAACUUUUGCUUAUUUUCAGAAAUGAGAAACAGGGGCAGUCUGAGCCAAGAUAUGAAUUGUGGCAAAGCAAGUCAAUUGUAUGGAGAUUUGAUAAAAAAGGUUAGGAUAAAAGAGUUGGAUUUUAAAGCAAGCAGAGGAUGAUUUGAAAAGUUUAGAAAAAGAAGUGUUUCGUCAUGGGGAGGCAGCCAGUUCAGACGAGGAAGCUGUCGAAAAGUUUAGUUGAGUUUGAAAAUCUCAUCAAGGCCAAGGAAUAUUUUCCCCAGCAAACUUUUAAUAUGGAUGAGACUGUGUGGAUAAAGUGGUUCAGAAAAUGGAUGGAGGGAUGUUACCUCGCACCGUAGCGCAGGGUUGCAGAGAGAGAGUCCAUAGUUACAGCCAUUACUUUAGUCUUUAUUAGUUCAAGGUGUAAAAUAAUGUAAUCUACAAUUAUCACGAUGAGAGAGAGAGAAAGAUGUUACCGUAUUUUCGUGACUAUAAGGCGCCAUUAAAAGUCUUAAAUUUUCUCCAUAAUGGACAGGAUGGCUUAUAAUGCGGAGCGCCUAGUGUAUGCGCCGAGUUCCAAAGCCUGACUGAGAGCACUUCUGGCCGACCCGCUGUUUAUACUGAGAAAAGGCGACAGGCAUGCAGAAGUCCGCCAAUGAGUGAAGGGUGGGCGUGUACGAGGGCGCUAAAGGCGCGUCCCUAGCAGGUACCAGUCGCCAAUGAGUGAAGGGUGGGCGUGUAAGAGGACGCUAAAGGCACGUCCCGAGCAGGUACGAGUCGCCAAUGAGUGAAGGGUGGGCGUGUAAGAGGACGCUCAAGGCACGUUCCUAGCAGGUACCAGUCGCCAAUGAGUGAAGGGUGGGCGUGUAAGAGGACGCUAAAGGCACGUCCCUAGCAGGUACCAGUCGCCAAUGAGUGAAGGGUGGGCGUGUAAGAGGAUGCUAAAGGCACG